rnacentral:ncRNA from 1 species
UUAUGCGAGAGUUUGAUCCUGGCUCAGGAUGAACGCUGGCGGCGUGCUUAACACAUGCAAGUCGAGCGAAGCACUU